GGGCGAAUCGAAUACGGGUGGCGGCCGCGGGCAGUUUGAGUCGGAAUCUGGGCUCCAGCCCGGCGGAGGCCGCGCCGGAACCGGACUUCCCGAGAGGUUGCCUUCCCCUCCCAGGUAGCGACGGGAGCGAGUUUAUUUAUAAAUGCUGGCAUAAUAAAGAAGGGAGAACAAAAUGAGCUGGGCUUUGGAAGAAUGGAAAGAAGGCCUGCCUACAAGAGCUCUUCAGAAAAUUCAAGAGCUGGAGGGACAGAUGGACAAACUGAAGAAGGAAAAGCAGCAAAGGCAGUUUCAGCUUGAUACUCUGGAGGCUGCAUUGCAGAAGCAAAAGCAGAAGGUUGAAAAUGAAAAAAGCGAGGGCACAAACCUGAAAAGGGAGAAUCAAAGAUUGAUAGAAAUAUGUGAAAAUCUGGAGAAAACUAAGCAGAAGAUUUCUCAUGAACUUCAAGUCAAGGAGUCACAGGUGAAUUUUCAGGAAGGACAACUGAAUUCAACCAAAAAGCAAAUAGAAAAACUGGAACAGGAACUUAAAAGGUAAUUUUUCUGAAUGGCAAUUUAUGGAUAUUGUUUUUAUGUGUUCAUUGGAUGCAUGUAUCUUUUCCUUUGACAAUGCAAUUAUUAUAAAUUGCAAUGUUUUUU